CAAUGUUUACGUACGUUCCGGCUCAAAAACACUUAUAAAUGUUAUGUUAUGAUGACGAAAGUGCAAUUUGUGCCAAAAUGACGGAAGAUUCAAGUUAGUAGUGCAAAUAUUUUAUUAUUUAGUUUCAUUUAUUUUCUGUUCAGUUCCAAAUCAAACAUUUAAUUUUAGUACACACGGAAUUUACAUGAGAUUACAUGAAAAGAUGUAAAUAUUUUAGUAACAUGAAAUUCAUAAUUUUUAGCGUAAUAAAUUGUCGUUUAUACAAGAAAGUAAUUUCAAGAAUUGAUUCUUUGAGUCAUAUCAUUUGUAUUUUUUAGUCAAAGUAUAACAAGAGUUUAUAUGAUUUGAUUACUUAUUGGAUUAUUUCGAUUAAAAAACGUGAUCACGUACAUAUUUCAUUAAUAUUUUUGUCUGCUAUUUAGUAAAUGAAACAAUAACAGGAAAUUUUUCUACAAUGGAUACGUGUGUAAUUGGAGAAGUGUUUUGUUUUGUAAAAGGCAUAUAUUUAGUAACGGGUGAUGGGAAAUAGUAAUGAAUUCCCAUGCAUUUUGGUGUACGUGAGUCGUGUUGUUAUUGUUUUGGUCAACCAACUCGAUCCACGUACAAUAUUUUCAGAAUGCUCUCGUACUUUCUGCUCCAUGUCAUGUAUCCUCUUAUGCGCAAAGCUUAUGUAGAGAAAGUCCAGUAUUUCUGAUCAACGGUUACGUAUCUAUGUGAAUGCUGCCAGAGUUUCUGGAAACGUGACUCACUCCGGGUUUCCUCCAGAUAUUCAUGGAAAGUUUCAUGUGCUGAUACGCCACUUUUGGUUUUUAGAAAUCCAUCUUUUAUAACGGCAAGAUUUGGUACAGUUCGGAGGUAGGCUGCUCGUGAGGAAAGUUAGAAAAUUUGACGACACAAAAUUGACACAAAAUUGACAAAAUUGAUGACACAUUAUAAACACAUGGUACCGGAAGUUAAAGCAGCAGAAAGAUUUUUGGAAGUAUGAAAGUUCUCAGAACUAAUAAAAUUUGAUGAAUAUUGAAUAUCUACAAAAGUUCAUAGAUUUGCGUAUUUUUAUGGCACGAUUCUUUGCACAUAUUUUUAAAAUUUUAUUUAGCAAAUUUAUCGUUUCUCUGAUUCAUUUAGACUAAAUUAUUUAUUGGCAUUCAAGUAAUAAUUUGAAUGUGAAUUAGUCACAGGGACCGGUGGAAUGUAUAACCCAUUUUGUGUGUAAUUAAUGUUAAUGAUUGUGUUGAAUUUCAACAAUUGUGAAAGCUAGUCACCUACUAAAAGUAGCAUGAAUAUUUUAUGGAAAUUGUGAAUAAUAAAAAUUUGCACUUGGCAAUGAAAAGUUGAUUCAUUUUUUCUCAGAAACAAUAUUGGGGAUAAAUAAUUUAAAUUCUGGCUCAAAAACACUUAUAAAUGUUAUGAUGGCGAAAAUACAGUUUGUGCCAAAAUGACGGCAGAUUCAAGUUAGCAGUACAAAUAUUUUUUGUUCAUUUAUUUUUUGUUUAAGUUAAGUGCCAAAUCAAACAUUUAAUCUUGAAUUUAAUUUUAGUCAAGGAAUUUAGUAAAUAUGAAAUUGCAUGAGAUUACAUUGCAUGAGAUUACAUGAAACGAUGUAAAUAUUUCAAUAACAUGAAAUUCAUAAUUUUUAGCGUAAUAAAUGAUCAUUGAUGUAACUAGAAUCAUAUAAUUUGUAUCUUUUAGUCAAACUAUAACAAGAGUUUAUAUGAUUACUCAUUGGAUAGAUAAUUUCGGUUACAAAGUUGUGAUCACGUAUUUCAUUAAUAUUUUUGUCUGCUAUUUAGUAAAUGAAACAAUAACAGGAAAUUUUUCUACAGUGGA